rnacentral:lncRNA from 1 species
UCAGAAAUAUUUGAACACAUGAGAAUUAAUCCAUCCACUUCAAGCACAAACAUACAUUUCAAACUGCAAUGGUCCUAGAACAGAACAGAAGAGACACAUGCAUAUCAAGUGUUACAUUGCAUGAGAGGGUCAUUUUUGGGUACAACACGGGCAAGACUAAUUAUGAAUGACUAAAAUAAUCAUAGCUCAACAAGCAUUGUCACUGAAAAUGCAUCAACUUGGCAAGCCUGAUGGUACACAACAGAAAAGCUGCAGCCUUGCCUCCAAUUCUAGUGCUUCUCGUUCAUCAAGCUUCUUGUGCUGGGAGAGAUCAGACCUAAACAAUAUGAUUCAAUCAGCACAUGUUCGUGUAAGAAUCAUAUGUUCACACUUAUUUAUUUAUUUACUCAUGAGCUAAUUAAAUGAAUAUGCAUCAACAAUACCAGCUACUGUGUGAUGCACAUACCACAUGAAGGGCAAAUAAAGUAGAAAUCACAUUCAUCCCAAAGAAACUCUAAAGUACUUGCCAGUAAUGAAACAAAUUGUGUAAACAUUAGUUAUCUUGUACAAGAAAAAAAAACUCUAGUGCAUUCUAUUUAAAAUAGUGAGAUUCGCACACAACCGGUGGACUCAAGCAUUGCAACUAUUUAAAUAAAAAGUUGAGACAAACUCGAGCUCACAUGCCUUCCAUUUUAAUUUCCAAGCAUGCUCUUUUGUUUAGUUGUUAUGCCAUUUUUAGCAACUGCGAAUAUGAGAACCAAAAUACAACCUGACUCAAAAUAGACAGAUUACAAGCUUUUGCUUCAAAAGUUUGACUAAUCUAGUAUCUGGUCAGAUUUUUUUUUGAAUUAUUCCCUGUUGAGUUAUUUGUGAGACUCGGCGCACAUGUUGAUGUCAAAGGCUCUUGGAGAAUAUAGCAUACAAAUUGGUUCAGUUCUUUUAAAUAGUUAACAAGAAAUGAAAAGACUCUUAGUAUCAUGCCUUGAAUUAUGUUUUGUGCUACCUCCCUUCGCAAUAUUGCUUUGUGAUGUUGGUUACUGCUAGUGCAGCUUCUAUAUAUGCAUAUAGCAAAGUACCUACCUGAUUUAGAUGUCUUUGAAGAGAGCUUCAUAGUUUUCAACUUAAAGAUAAGAACAUAAUCAAGCUCUAAUACUCCUAUUUUUUGUGAUGAUGUGUGUUAAAUAACCAUCUCAGUAUGUGUUUAUGAGAGGACCUAUGUUGUGAUCAUACUGCUGUUAAUGUUGUUAUUUCUGAUGCAUACUUGAAUAACUUGGGGGAGGUCUGGUGAAGAUUUGGACAGAUUAACCAAUGUUCGUACUUGCUAAAACUAACGGAGUAUGUGUUGUGAAAGGGGAACAUGCGAUUACUGGAAAAUUCUGGAGUAACAUGAAUCCAGAUUUUGUUAUGCGGACAAACCAAUUUCAUUUUUCUUACCUAGUAGAAUCAAUUUACUUUAUUUCUAGGCUUUCAAGUUAUUGAGUCUGUAUACGAAACUGCAGAUACUAAUCUUUUUAGUGAAUUGUCCUAACUUCAAGGCACUUGGAUUAUAUACCUAACCGUGGUUCUCCAGAGUACUUUAGUGAAGUAAAACUUCCAAAUUAGAGUACCAAACCACCUAGAACAGUUGCAAUACAUCAUCAAAUCGAAGUUAUUAAAAUGCAUCGUUCACACAUGAGCAGAUUUGACAAGAAAAGGUACAAGAAAAUAGAAGUACAGAGAUGCAACACAAAUUUCCUUGAUAGUAAAAUUGGGAUAUAGCACAAAUGUACUAUAGCAAAUAAAGUUAAGAUCUAGUUACCAGGAAAAUGAACCGUCGUGUUCACGGCAUGUAGGUUCGGCCAGUCGGGAAGGGGCUGAGGAAACCACAUUGGCUUGCCGUCAACGAGGGGUAGAAGACGCGAGCUGAUCUGGAGCCUAAGAGAGAGGAGGAGGCAAAGAAACCCAAC